rnacentral:rRNA from 1 species
AACGAACGCUGGCGGCAUGCCUAACACAUGCAAGUCGAACGAGACCUUCGGGUCUAGUGGCGCACGGGUGCGUAACGCGUGGGAAUCUGCCCUUGGGUUCGGAAUAACAGUUAGUAAUGACUGCUAAUACCGGAUAAUGUCUUCGGACCAAAGAUUUAUCGCCCAGGGAUGAGCCCGCGUAGGAUUAGCUAGUUGGUGAGGUAAAGGCUCACCAAGGCGACGAUCCUUAGCUGGUCUGAGAGGAUGAUCAGCCACACUGGGACUGAGACACGGCCCAGACUCCUACGGGAGGCAGCAGUGGGGAAUAUUGGACAAUGGCGAAAGCCUGAUCCAGCAAUGCCGCGUGAGUGAUGAAGGCCUUAGGGUUGUAAAGCUCUUUUACCCGGGAUGAUAAUGACAGUACCGGGAGAAUAAGCCCCCGGCUAACUCCGUGCCAGCAGCCG